rnacentral:rRNA from 1 species
UACGGAGGGAGCUAGCGUUGUUCGGAAUUACUGGGCGUAAAGCGCGCGUAGGCGGCUUUGUAAGUUAGAGGUGAAAGCCCGGAGCUCAACUCCGGAACUGCCUUUAAAACUGCAUCGCUUGAAUCCAGGAGAGGUGAGUGGAAUUCCGAGUGUAGAGGUGAAAUUCGUAGAUAUCGGGAGGAACACCAGUGGCGAAGGCGGCGAUCUGGGAAGAUACUGACGCUGAGGUGCGAAAGCGUGGGGAGCAAACAGG